rnacentral:rRNA from 1 species
UACGUAGGGUCCGAGCGUUGUCCGGAAUUACUGGGCGUAAAGAGCUUGUAGGCGGUUUGUCGCGUCUGCUGUGAAAUUCCAGGGCUUAACCCUGGGCUUGCAGUGGGUACGGGCAGACUAGAGUGUGGUAGGGGAGACUGGAAUUCCUGGUGUAGCGGUGAAAUGCGCAGAUAUCAGGAGGAACACCGAUGGCGAAGGCAGGUCUCUGGGCCACUACUGACGCUGAGAAGCGAAAGCAUGGGGAGCGAACAGG